AAUAGAUACCCGGGUAGUCCACGCCGUAAACGAUGUCGACUUGGAGGUUGUGCCCUUGAGGCGUGGCUUCCGGAGCUAACGCGUUAAGUCGACCGCCUGGGGAGUACGGCCGCAAGGUUAAAACUCAAAUGAAUUGACGGGGGCCCGCACAAGCGGUGGAGCAUGUGGUUUAAUUCGAUGCAACGCGAAGAACCUUACCUACUCUUGACAUCCAGAGAACUUAGCAGAGAUGCUUUGGUGCCUUCGGGAACUCUGAGACAGGUGCUGCAUGGCUGUCGUCAGCUCGUGUUGUGAAAUGUUGGGUUAAGUCCCGCAACGAGCGCAACCCUUAUCCUUUGUUGCCAGCGAUUCGGUCGGGAACUCAAAGGAGACUGCCAGUGAUAAACUGGAGGAAGGUGGGGAUGACGUCAAGUCAUCAUGGCCCUUACGAGUAGGGCUACACACGUGCUACAAUGGCAUAUACAAAGAGAAGCGACCUCGCGAGAGCAAGCGGACCUCAUAAAGUAUGUCGUAGUCCGGA
rnacentral:rRNA from 1 species